CACAAAAGCGCCAAACUCCAAGGCCUGUGCACCGGCUGGCACCGAGCCGCGUGCGGACAAACCACGCGGGGAGGCUCUUUAACUCUGGGUAAAUGUAAAGCGCUCGGCGCUGCAGGCGCGGGCCUGGACUCUGCGCUGCAGGCGCAGCUUCUGGAAGCAAGACACCAGGUGGAGGGAAAGGGCUAAGCGGAGAUGUGUGUCCUCCGGGCAGGUCAGGUGUCACCGGGGCGUCCCGGGGCGCUGGAGGGCACGUGUCACCACCGCGCCCCGAGCUUCGGUCGCAGAGGGCCUGCUGCCUCCUCCGACACGAGUCCUGCACGCCGGUUCCAGGAGAGGAGGAGAAAGGAGAGUCGCCCCAAAGACCAUAUACUGAAGGAGACCCUGUGGCUUGUGUUCGAAACUGACACUGAAGGCAGCAGUUAGGAGAUGCACAUUCAUCUACCCUGGAACUGAAUCUGGAGGCAAACCCAGCAACCACACAUCUCAAAAUUGUCGGAGUUCCUACGGCUGGCCUCCCGCGGAUAAGCAGCAGAACAAAGAGCUGCAAGAAAAUGUCCUGGGCCAUCGUUGAGCUAGCUAAUUACAGAAGGCUUUUAGAGUUGGCUCUUUGCUUUUUGUUUAUAUAUUAUGUGAAGAGGCACCGUAAGAGGUGCCUCCGCCACCCCGACCUCAGCCCCGACCCCACCUCUGCCAUACUCACCAGUGCCCACUCACCCCCUCGUUGAUUUCUAGUUGGACCUUGACACUGGGCAACUCUACAAGCUCCCAACUUCGCUGAAGUUCACCUGCUGUGCUCUCCCUCCCUUCCUCUUCCAGGAGGGGUCAUGUUUCUCGCCUUUCAUCCAACAUUUCCAUUUUCCUUCAUUUACUGUAGGGUGGGAGGGGGAAUUCCUAGCUCCAUCUUCUUCUGUUAUCUCGUGAUGAAGUUUGUUUCUUCCUCUGAAAAAUGGUGUUGAUGUUUGUCUCAUGAUGAAGUUGUGAGAAUCGGGUAAUCUAUAUUUUCAAAUAAAAUGAUUUUUAUUUUAUGCAAUAAUUAUUUAAAUUUGUGCUGCAAUUGCAUACUUCCCUGCUGUAUCCUUGCUGAGGGAUAGAGGACUACCUUUGCUAGAUAGAGGACUGUCUCCUUGAACACCUAACACACUGUCAUAUGCACAUUAGAACUCUGUUCACUGGGGGAUCCCUGGGUGGCGCAGCGGUUUGGUGCCUGCCUUUGGCCCAGGGCACAAUCC